AUUUGUAGGUUUUCAUUCAAUAUUGAUGCAUUUUACAUGUACUCUUGUCCUGUAUCAGGCUGAGUCUUUUUCUCUGCAGAAAAUGAAAAGCAUGUACUCAUGUCAAGAGCGUAAUUCAUAGUUAUUUUCAGCAGGUGCUUAAAAACAUUUGUAAAUUCCAGCUUAUAACUGAGCAAUUCACCCUCCACCCCCUAUAUGUAAAUUUGUAACAGAGGAUUCAGUAAGGGGUUUGAGUGUAUAAACGAUACCUUUAUUUUCAGUGUGGAAUUCCCAUUGAGAGGCCAGGCCUAAAAAUACCAAAUGUUUCCACAAACAAUUCCUGCACACUGCAUGUUGAGCAAUACAGCUACAACCAAGGGGAGAGCUUCUGCUGACAGUUGAAUGCAGGAGUCCAAACUGAGUUAGGUUAUAUAUAGUUUUUAUUACUGGUCAUAAGCUCUUACCAGAAAUCCAGAUGUGCUUGAAUCAUGCAACAGAUUAAUGACACAAAAUGACUGUGGGUGCAGGAUGAAGGCUCCUUUUGUUUACCAGAGAGGAUACUGUAACUUCCAGUUAAUGACUUCAAACUAUCUUACAGAACACAAAGGAACAAGUUAAGGCACGUAAACAGAAGUUGCCAGACUUCUUAUCAAGUGAUUGUGGAAUUUCAUGUCAAAGUACACCCUCUCUCGAUUAAAUCCCUGCAGAACCAGCAUCAUCACUGUGCUGUGCUGCCAUAAAGGAGAGAAUAUAGCCUUUGUCCCCGCUCGGCACUAGCGGAACCGAGAGCGAUGCACGCAGUUGGCAAGGGCUGCAACAACAGAGUCCCCAUUCAUCGCUGCCCUCAGAGCAGUUUGGUUUAGCUGUGUUACGUAAGCCAUUUGUGGUAUAACUCAGGACAUUGCACAGAAUAAUAUUGGGCAUGGAUAUCCAGCUGUUGUGCGAGAUAUUGAGAAGGGAAUAAAGGUACCCUAUUGCGGUCGGGGGCUGGGGCACGCCUUCAGCAGCUCAUUGAAUUGAGGUAUUGCGACCCAUUCCCUCAGCAACCAUCACAUGACAAGUGCUAGAAGCAGUAUUGAGCUACUGCACUAGACAUCCUUCUUGUACAAAAAUUACUCAGUUUUACCCUUUGUGAACCUAAUGCCAAUCAAUGUGAUUUUUGACCAGACUGGUAAGGGAAAGCUUUUUCUGAAAAUACUGUGUGGUUACCAACCUUAUGCUGUAGGAACUAUAAAACAGAUAAUAUAUUUGUCAUUGACUCUGAGAAGUUACUGCCAUUAGCUAUUGGGCUUCCUGAAGGUAAAUCCACCUGACUUUUGUAGUUAGUAUUCCGCCCAAGAUUGUGCAAAAUAAUAUUAUUAAGUAGAAUGUUUUGGCUUAUCAUGGAAAGAAGGAAAAGAGCUGCUGAAAUAUAUCAGAAGUUGGCAAUGGUGAAAAUACUGCCUUGCUAUCCUGAACAUUAUCUGAUGAAGUAAGAUGCUGCAUAAAAUUCUCCUCAAUUAAAGUAAUGGGUCUCGGUGUUUUCUUUUGGAGGGCUAAAUAAGUGAAAUCAGACGUUUCCCAGAGUCACGGAUUGUCUUUGCCUUUGUUUUGUCUGCCCUGUGCCAGGGAGGCACUGGACAUUGCCUGCUUGGCAAAAAGUCUUGCUUUUCCGGGCAUUUGAUAUCACUACUCCUCAGUGUGACCUUGCAAAGUGACUAGAGAUGCUGGAGGAACUUCAGGCAAAAGCUAGUUUUGUUUCAGCCAGGUGGUGGUUUAAGUCCUUGAUUACUGAGUUAGCACAAACAAAAAAUGUGAAGCAUCAACCAAAUUACACAGACACUGUUGCUAUAUGUUCUAUUCAACCUGUUUCUCUAUGAUUUUGGCCAAGGUGUGUUAUAGCUACAAAAAUCUGAGAAUCUGGCUCUGUACAGGUGCCUGUUGCCUUUAUAAUCUCCCUUUCUAAGGAGAAAUAUUACCUAGAGUUAAAGAAAUAAAAUUUCAGAUCAUGUUUCUGUUGAUUUUUUUUUAAGCUCCUUUUUUCCUGUUUUGUUUUCAGUUAUGUGGCAACCAAGAUGCUGAUCCUAUCAUAUCCUUAAAUCUUAUUUGUGAACAGGUCUUGAUGCUGAAGAGCAUCCUUAAAAUUCCUGUGUUUUACCUUAUAAUAAUUCACUUAUAUCAUGCACUAGAAGCACUUUAUUGUAUCAGGUAGCACUUUGUUUUCUAGAGCAGUAACACUUUAUUGUGAUUAUGUAUGACAUUAACAUGACAUAUUACUUUUACUUGGGGACAAAACCUGAUGCAUUAAAUCCAUGACAGACUUGGGCUUGUAGGGUGAUACUUCUGAAUAGUCUUGGGCUACUAGCCUGUUCUACAGUUAGUAAUUUUUGGGGGCUCUAGCCAUCACAGUGAUGAAUUACUGAAAACAACUGGAGAGUCUAUUGUAACUACAAAAUUUGGUAUUCAUAAAUAUAUAUGGGCAGGAAGUGCUGAUAAAAAUUCCAAGUAAUUUUUCAUGGUUUGGGGGCCUUCUUUAACUGGGCUGUAAAAUGGAAAAUAACCAGUUGAAUCAUUUUAUUAGAAGGCAGCAUCCAUUCUUUAUGUGUAUAACCACAUCAUCUGU